rnacentral:rRNA from 1 species
UACAGAGGUCCCGAGCGUUGUUCGGAUUCAUUGGGCGUAAAGGGUGCGUAGGCGGUCUGCUAAGUUUGAUGUGAAAUCCCGGGGCUCAACCCUGGAAUGGCAUUGAAUACUGGUGGACUAGAGUACUGGAGAGGAAACUGGAAUUUACGGUGUAGCAGUGAAAUGCGUAGAGAUCGUAAGGAAGACCAGUGGCGAAGGCGAGUUUCUGGACAGUAACUGACGCUGAGGCACGAAGGCCAGGGGAGCAAACGGG